AGUUUGAUCAUGGCUCAGAUUGAACGCUGGCGGCAUGCCUUACACAUGCAAGUCGAACGGCAGCACGGGAGCUUGCUCCUGGUGGCGAGUGGCGAACGGGUGAGUAAUACAUCGGAACGUACCCUGAAGUGGGGGAUAACGUAGCGAAAGUUACGCUAAUACCGCAUAUUCUGUGAGCAGGAAAGAGGGGGGAUCGCAAGACCUCUUGCUUUAGGAGCGGCCGAUGUCGGAUUAGCUAGUUGGUGAGGUAAAGGCUCACCAAGGCGACGAUCCGUAGCGGGUCUGAGAGGAUGAUCCGCCACACUGGGACUGAGACACGGCCCAGACUCCUACGGGAGGCAGCAGUGGGGAAUUUUGGACAAUGGGCGCAAGCCUGAUCCAGCCAUGCCGCGUGAGUGAAGAAGGCCUUCGGGUUGUAAAGCUCUUUCGGUGGGGAAGAAAUUGCUUCGGUUAAUACCUGGAGUAGAUGACGGUACCCGCAUAAGAAGCACCGGCUAACUACGUG
rnacentral:rRNA from 1 species